GGGAUGGGGGAUGGGGGAUGGGGGAGGGGAGGUGUUUUCCUUGGGGGUUGAGAGCUGCCGCUAAAUUUGCAUAGGACAAACAGCAGGAGAAUUCGCCCCGCGGGAAAACGAGAGGCGAAUGAACUGGGAAAGGACGCAUGGAAAAGCGGAAAAUGCAGAGGAUAUGAAAAUUUACAUUUUUCAAAUGCCCCUUCGUGGAAUUCUCACUGCUCCCAAACGAACAUUACGGCAACUAAACUUUCGGCUAAUGAGUUAUAUGUCAUCUGUAUGUUUUGGGUUCCAAAACAAUGACAUUAGUCAAGUUAAUGUAUUCAGCUUUUGUUUACAGAUUUUUUGUGGCAGUUGACAGAAAGUUGUUAUUAUUCAAUUGGCAGUAAAUUGAAAAUAUAGAAUCUCUUACUUUUUAGGCUGUGCACUUUGGUGCAGUCAGUGGUGAGUGGCAGAGCGAAUGAGACAUUAUCCACUCAUCCCAUUCACUUAAUUAGAUUAAGCACUUUGGCCCUCUUCACUUUCCUCGCCAAAGGGUGCAGCACUCGAGUUUCACGGCCGGAAAUUAUUUGCCGUCUGCAAUUUCAAUUGAAACACGGGCCACACACUAAAAAUAUGAGAGGAUCAACUGCAUAGUACAGUAAAGUACUGUGGAGUUCAGUACACACCCAUUUGGCAGUGCAUUUCUUCACAUCCGCUGGCGAAUGCUUCACUGUUUCGUACGUUACUUCAAUGUGUUUAUAGUUCGCCGAUCUUUGGGGCGUCGUCCGAUAUGGAAAUUCCUAUCGCAAGUGCCUGGCGAUGCGUAACUCCCACAACUCCACUGACUCCCGAAGGGGCAAAGGCAUCCACAUCCACAUCGCCAUCGGAAUCGCCAUCGGCAUCGACCGAAGGGCUUGGCACCCAGCGAAAACCCUUCACGGUUGAGAGAACUCCAGUCACGUGUCUUGACACAAAAAAACAUGUAGCUACUAUGUGGUGUGCAUUGUGCAGAUGCUACGAAAUCAAAUUUCAUAUAUGGCUGGGCGAAAAACAACACACACAUUUUCCAACGGCGGCAAUUUCCGUUGGGAAAACCCACUGGAAAACCACUCUUUCUGUGAAUGUUGGAAAAUGUUUAGUUUAGUUUACUCAUCUCUACUUGCAAUUGCAUACCUCUUUAAGCAGUGAUCGAAACAUCUAAUAAAUGACACAUCUGUUGAUGAUUGCCUGCAGCUAUUAUGUUCCAGGUGUUACAUUUUAUUGCUAUUUUCUUCCAGUGUGAAGUUCAAGUGAGGCGUGGAGCAAGCCAGCCGGAAAAUGGGUUGUCUGUGGGCCCACACACGAAAUUGUCAUAUGUAGACACUUUUCGCCAGCCAUUUCCUGUUUGCCACUUUUAUGCGUGGAGCGGCCACCUACUUGCCCCAAGGAGUUACCAGUUGCACAUGGUAACCAGUCCAGAAUCUCAUCUCAUCUCACUGAUUUGCACCGAGCGACAAUUAAGUGCACUGCAUAGUGAAUUUGUUUCGUCUACUGCAGUGUAACGAGCGCUAAUUACCGCAUAAUUUCAGUUAAUUUCAGUUAGUUUCAGUUUAUUUUCAGUUUAUUUUCAGUUUAUUUUCAGUUAAUUUGCAGUUUAUUUGCCCUUUGCCGUAAUUAGCAAAAGGGGCGAACGUGACUCAAAGUCAGAGUUUUCUUUUCGCCCCACAACAAACCCAAUAAGCUGAAAGGCAAACUCGUUUCGAAUUUCCACCGACUGGAGGAGCGGAAAUGUACAACAAAACACGGAUAACGGAUAACGAGGAGGGGAAAAUGCAGGUCAGACAAGUGAAUUAGAAACAAAGCAAUGGCAAAUAAACUGCGACAGCGAAGCGGAAGUGGAUUUAGAUAAAGUCAGUAAACAACAACCAAGAGCGCAAAUAAUGUUAUCACAGUAAGUGCGAAAUGUACAAAAUACGAAAUAUAAAAUACAAAAUACGAAAUAAGAAAUACGAAUUAUAUUCAAAUAGAAGCGAA